rnacentral:rRNA from 1 species
GACGAACGCUGGCGGCGUGCUUAACACAUGCAAGUCGAACGAAGAGCGAUGGAAGCUUGCUUCUAUCAAUCUUAGUGGCGCACGGGUGAGUAACGCGUAAUCAACCUGCCCUUCAGAGGGGGACAACAGCUGGAAACGACUGCUAAUACCGCAUACGAUCUAACCUCGGCAUCGAGGAUAGAUGAAAGGUGGCCUCUACAUGUAAGCUAUCACUGAAGGAGGGGAUUGCGUCUGAUUAGCUAGUUGGAGGGGUAACGGCCCACCAAGGCGAUGAUCAGUAGCCGGUCUGAGAGGAUGAACGGCCACAUUGGGACUGAGACACGGCCCAGACUCCUACGGGAGGCAGCAGUGGGGAAUCUUCCGCAAUGGACGAAAGUCUGACGGAGCAACGCCGCGUGAGUGAGGACGGCCUUCGGGUUGUAAAGCUCUGUUAAUCGGGACGAAAGGCCUUCUUGCGAAUAGUUAGAAGGAUUGACGGUACCGGAAUAGAAAGCCACGGCUAACUACGUG